ensembl:processed_transcript Gm20682 predicted gene 20682
AUAACUUUAGUUUCUUAAAGUCUUUUUUAUUGUUUAAUAAUUCAUACACACAUAAAAUGUGUUUUGAUUAAAGUUUCUCCCCUAUUUCCUCCCCUUCAGCUCAUCUGCUAUUCCCCCACCACUCUUCCCUCCCAACUUAGUCGGUAUGAGCGUGUGUGAGUGUGUGGUGUGUGUGUGUGUGUGUGUGUGUGUGUGUACACGCUGACCAUUUUAUUAGCUCAGACGGCCCCCCCCCCCCCCCCCCCCCCCCCCCCCAGAGGACUGAGGCAAGCUGAGCCAGCCUUUCUGUGUGUUCUGGGCCAUUUCGGUGAACAGCAAGGGAAGGUCAGAGGGAGUGUGAAUUGCCCCUGUCUUCCUGCCCAACACUCAGGGCUUCAGGUCAAGCAAGCGUCCAUGCCAGAGCCCCUCUGUAUCCCUCCACACCACUUGGUACUCUUUCUCCCUGACUCUCAAUUUCAUAACUUACGAUAAAACUCAUGUAACAUAAAGUGUACCACUGUGCUCAUUUUUAAGUGUGCCUAACUGUAGUGUGAAGACCACUGGACUCACUGGAUAGCCAGUCUCCAUAACUGUUCCCCCCUUGCAAUGCCAAAAUUGUGACCAUUAAAUACUCACUGUCCACACCCUUGUCCCAGCCCCUGUCAAUGCCUUCCUGCUUCCAUCUCUGAGUGACCGCUCUGGAGACCUCAUAAAAGCACACCCUGACAGUGUGGUCCUCUUUCUGGUGUUAAUCAUUUAGCAUUCCUUAACAUUCCCUCCACACUGAAGCAUUUCAUUCUUUGUGGUCUCUUGUUCAUGUUUGGCAUCUGGGACCUCAGAAAAACACACUUCUCUUAGUAUUGGGCUCGUAAAAAGUCCAGACUGGUGAAUACAGGGUUGGGUGUGCAGAACUGCCUGAGCUUUGGGCUUAUAAGAUGCCCCUGUUUCACCACGAUUGAAGCUCACGUGGAUAGGCCCGACAUCUGAUUCCAAGGACUACCUCGGGGCCCUACCACCUGUUGACACCCAGCGUCCUCUCGGGAGUGGAGAAAAGAGCAUGCGGCCCGGGAGUGGCUGAACACUGUGGCCUCUGGGGGACGUUUGGUUGCUGCUUUGGAGAAGCUGUGCUCUCUUGGGUUUUGUUGGUUCAGCACCAGGCUCAGCAGUGUUCUCAGGCAGUGCAAUGUUCUGAAAUGCCAGUUCCGAGACAGACUUUCCGACAGGCAAGACCCUCUUAACCUGUUGGCCUGCAUCCUUUGUCGCUGAGUUGGUCCCUCUGAUAGUGCUGAAGGUCACUGUUAGCGAAUUAUUGAAAUGAGACAUUUGCAGUGCGGGCCUUGUAUUGUUUCUGCUAAUAGGAGCCCACUGUUUUUCUCACAUACGGUUAGUCAGAUCGCUUUUUCUAGCCAGGGACUUGGCCUAGGAGAGAUGCCUAACAAAAGACCGUCCGUGGGGAAGGAUGGCUGAGUUGUGUCUGGGAAGGCAGACAGGGCAAGCUGGAAGAUGAACAAGGAGAGGAGGCAGGCACUCUGGAAUCCCAGGGUUGCUCUUGUGUUGACUCUAGCUCAGAGUCCCAUAACCUCCCAGGACUGCUCACCUCUGGAAUGGGAGGGUGAUCUCUGUCUCCUGCCGGCCACACAGAACCAGAGGAAACGGUUGGGCUCAGUAGCUGACCACUCUGCUGUUCUAGUGAUCAGCAGUGUGGGGACCAUGGUGAGAUGAUGUGAACCCGUUCAGUUAUGGGUCCUUCUUGGCCGUUUUGCACCACCAGCCACUUGUAUUUACAGGACAAGGUCAGGAGUCUGUUCUUAUCACGUGUCUGCCAUUUCAUCCCUCCACUCUUGAUUUGGAAAAGGGGGCAGGAGGUAGCGCCCCUCCUAAACACAACACUGCUAUUUUCUCUGAAUGGCUGCAGUUACUGUGUGUUUUUAAGUAACUUCAUUUGGAUGUAUUUUUAGCCAGCUUUGAGUUCUGAAGGCCAAUCAGCCAGGGAUGUCUCCAGCUGUAGGAGUAACAGUCAGGUUUGUGCUUUGCCAGCCCGCAGCUGGAGCCAGCGCCAUUAGCCUUCCCACCGGCAUUUCGUCUCUCUAGACGGCAUCAGAGGAAAGUCUGCAGUAAGUUCUAAGAGGUCACAGAUAGGAGUCUUAUUAGUUUUUUUUUUUUUUCUUUUUCUUUUUCUUCUUCCCAGGCUUUUGUAGCACCAAACACAGUUCUCAAUAGGCGCUUGAUAAAUCCUUAAAUCCCUAACAAUCAGAUGAUAUCAUUUUGAGAGAAAAAAAAAUCUAAAAGGAGCCCGUGGAAUAUGGCACCUGGGAGCUCAAAAGCUUUGCAGUUAGUGUUGGGGGAAUGCCCGGCUCACUUAGCUGCUAGAAACACGUGCACACCAUCUGCAUGCACUCACACACGUACGCACACUAUGCACAUACCUCUACUCUUUGAGUAUAGCAAGAGGCCAUUGCAGGACCAAACCUCCAUUUACCUCCUGAGGACAGACUAGAGGGACAGCAGAGACCAGUGACCACAGAAUGCUGAUGAGUGACUUAAGGUGUUAAAGGGGUGCUAUAGAAAUCCUCCGGUAGAUUUCUAUCAUACAGGGAAUUUUCCUUAUCUAAAACCACUGGGUUUAUCUGACCUCAGCUCCCCACAUUUGCUCCAUCCUGGGUGUCUGCUCGGUUUUCAGCCAAAUCAAGGUCAGGAUAAAAAGGAGAUUUGGGUGGCAGUAAGCUGGAUAUUCAGGCUUCUGCAGUAAUACUCAAUUAUUGAAUUCUCCAGAAGCAGUGAACUCCUCUAUAUAAUGAAGUCCUCAGUUUUUAAAUAUCUUUAUGAAUCAGCCAGUUCAGUGUUGGCAGCAGCCAGCUUGCUGUUUCCUGCUUUAUUAUAAAGAAAAGGUGGUAGGGCUCUGAGAACUUGCUAGGGUGGUUAAACGCCAGCCUAAACAUUUUAACGCACCUUGUUCUUCUUGACUGAGCCUUUUAAAGCGCUGCCAAAUGCCAUAGGAAAGGACCCACAUGGGAGAGGAGUCAGCUUGCCUUCACUGUCCUGCAGCCCCGAGACCCCGCCCCCAGCAUGGUCUGGUACUGCCCUGUGCACCUCCUUGUCACCCAGAAGCCUCACUAGCCAGGGCUGAGACCCAGGACUGCAGGGGCACUUGAUUUCCAAUCACUUUUACUAUAGUGGACCCAAAGCAACGUAAAACAAAAUCUAUGAGCAUUCAAGUCCCUAGGACACGCACUGCUCAGAUCUGCAGGUUCUGCUGAGACCUCCACAACAGAGCAGGUGCUGCGCUAAAGUAGGCAAUACCAGUUUCUAGAUUUCCAGUACAUAUAAGGGUUGUAUUUAACAUGGUGUAUGUACAGUCUGUUGUGCUUGCAGUAGUACUACAUGUAGGUGUAGAAAGCUCAAUUGAAAGCUCCUUUGUUGCUAAAGAAUGCUAAGGAUCAUGGGAACUGAGGACAGGGGUGCUGGUACAGUUGCUUCUCACAGGGUGAUCAAACCUAUAAUUCAUU